UAUAGAGGAAACGUGCAGAAAUGUACGCCCCGCAAGGUCUCUAUACAGGUGGUGCAUGGUUGUCGUCAGCUCGUGUCGUGAGAUGUUGGGUUAAGUCCCGCAACGAGCGCAACCCUCGUCCUAUGUUGCCAGCACGUAAAGGUGGGAACUCAUGGGAGACUGCCGGGGUCAACUCGGAGGAAGGUGGGGAUGACGUCAAAUCAUCAUGCCCCUUAUGUCUUGGGCUUCACGCAUGCUACAAUGGCCAGUACAAAGGGCUGCAAUACCGUAAGGUGGAGCGAAUCCCAAAAAGCUGGUCUCAGUUCGGAUUGAGGUCUGCAACUCGACCUCAUGAAGUCGGAGUCGCUAGUAAUCGCAGAUCAGCAACGCUGCGGUGAAUACGUUCCCGGGCCUUGUACACACCGCCCGUCAAGUCACGAAAGUCGGUAACACCCGAAGCCGGUGGCCUAACC
rnacentral:rRNA from 1 species